rnacentral:snRNA from 1 species
GAAAUAUGAGGGCAAUCUGGCUGCAACAUCUGCCACCUGCCAUCAUCUUCAGGUUAGACUCAGCUGGCAAAGCUAAGCAGGUGUCUCCCUUCUUCCUCACCCUGCUUCGUGUAAGGCCUUCCUUCAGUUCAUAGAGACAGAGAAUGACCUUAGAUAGAAUAAUUCGAUUUUUCAAUCAAGAGUGUCCAAAUGGCAGCACACCACUGCAAUAAUCUCUUGUAGGUUUAAAGCUAAGGCUAAGUACAUUGGAACUUUUCAGGAUAUUAUUCUCAGGCAUUUCAACUUGUCAUU